rnacentral:rRNA from 1 species
UACGGAGGAUGCGAGCGUUAUCCGGAUUUAUUGGGUUUAAAGGGUGCGUAGGCGGAUCGUUAAGUCAGUGGUCAAAUUGAGGGGCUCAACCCCUUCCCGCCAUUGAAACUGGCGUUCUUGAGUGGAAGAGAAGUAUGCGGAAUGCGUGGUGUAGCGGUGAAAUGCAUAGAUAUCACGCAGAACCCCGAUUGCGAAGGCAGCAUGCCGGCUUCCGACUGACGCUGAAGCACGAAAGCGUGGGGAUCGAACAGG